rnacentral:rRNA from 1 species
UACGUAGGGUGCGAGCGUUAAUCGGAAUUACUGGGCGUAAAGCGUGCGUAGGCGGUUGGCAAAGUCAGCUGUGAAAUCCCCGGGCUUAACCUGGGAACUGCAUUUGUGACUGCACGGCUAGAGUGCGGCAGAGGGGGAUGGAAUUCCGCGUGUAGCAGUGAAAUGCGUAGAUAUGCGGAGGAACACCGAUGGCGAAGGCAAUCCCCUGGGCCUGCACUGACGCUCAUGCACGAAAGCUGGGGGAGCAAACAGG